GACGAACGCUGGCGGCGUGCUUAACACAUGCAAGUCGAACGGAAAGGCCCUGCUUUUGUGGGGUGCUCGAGUGGCGAACGGGUGAGUAACACGUGAGUAACCUGCCCUUGACUUUGGGAUAACUUCAGGAAACUGGGGCUAAUACCGGAUAGGAGCUCCUGCUGCAUGGUGGGGGUUGGAAAGUUUCGGCGGUUGGGGAUGGACUCGCGGCUUAUCAGCUUGUUGGUGGGGUAGUGGCUUACCAAGGCUUUGACGGGUAGCCGGCCUGGGAGGGUGACCGGCGACAUUGGGACUGAGGUACGGCCCAGACUCCUACGGGAGGCAGCAGUGGGGAAUAUUGCACAAUGGGCGGAAGCCUGAUGCAGCAACGCCGCGUGCGGGAUGACGGCCUUCGGGUUGUAAACCGCUUUCGCCUGUGACGAAGCGUGAGUGACGGUAAUGGGUAAAGAAGCACCGGCUAACUACGUG
rnacentral:rRNA from 1 species